rnacentral:rRNA from 1 species
AACCAGUACCGUGAGGGAAAGGUGAAAAGCACCCCGGAAGGGGAGUGAAAGAGAUCCUGAAACCGUGUGCCUACAAAUAGUCAGAGCCCGUUAAUGGGUGAUGGCGUGCCUUUUGUAGAAUGAACCGGCGAGUUACGAUCCCGUGCGAGGUUAAGCUGAAGAGGCGGAGCCGCAGCGAAAGCGAGUCUGAAUAGGGCGUUUAGUACGUGGUCGUAGACCCGAAACCAGGUGAUCUACCCAUGUCCAGGGUGAAGUUCAGGUAACACUGAAUGGAGGCCCGAACCCACGCACGUUGAAAAGUGCGGGGAUGAGGUGUGGGUAGCGGAGAAAUUCCAAUCGAACCUGGAGAUAGCUGGUUCUCCCCGAAAUAGCUUUAGGGCUAGCCUUAAGUGUAAGAGUCUUGGAGGUAGAGCACUGAUUGAACUAGGGGUCCUCAUCGGAUUACCGAAUUCAGUCAAACUCCGAAUGCCAAUGACUUAUCCUUAGGAGUCAGACUGCGAGUGAUAAGAUCCGUAGUCAAGAGGGAAACAGCCCAGAUCGCCAGCUAAGGUCCCAAAGUGUGUAUUAAGUGGAAAAGGAUGUGGAGUUGCUUAGACAACUAGGAUGUUGGCUCAGAAGCAGCCACCAUUUAAAGAGUGCGUAAUAGCUCACUAGUCGAGUGACUCUGCGCCGAAAAUGUACCGGGGCUAAAUACACCACCGAAGCUGCGAAUUGAUACCAAUGGUAUCAGUGGUAGGGGAGCGUUCUAAGUGCAGUGAAGUCAGACCGGAAGGACUGGUGGAGCGCUUAGAAGUGAGAAUGCCGGUAUGAGUAGCGAAAGACGGGUGAGAAUCCCGUCCACCGAAUGCCUAAGGUUUCCUGAGGAAGGCUCGUCCGCUCAGGGUUAGUCAGGACCUAAGCCGAGGCCGACAGGCGUAGGCGAUGGACAACAGGUUGAUAUUCCUGUACCACCUCUUUAUCGUUUGAGCAAUGGAGGGACGCAGAAGGAUAGAAGAAGCGUGCGAUUGGUUGUGCACGUCCAAGCAGUUAGGCUGAUAAGUAGGCAAAUCCGCUUAUCGUGAAGGCUGAGCUGUGAUGGGGAAGCUCCUUAUGGAGCGAAGUCUUUGAUUCCCCGCUGCCAAGAAAAGCUUCUAGCGAGAUAAAAGGUGCCUGUACCGCAAACCGACACAGGUAGGCGAGGAGAGAAUCCUAAGGUGUGCGAGAGAACUCUGGUUAAGGAACUCGGCAAAAUGACCCCGUAACUUCGGGAGAAGGGGUGCUUUCUUAACGGAAAGCCGCAGUGAAUAGGCCCAAGCGACUGUUUAGCAAAAACACAGGUCUCUGCGAAGCCGUAAGGCGAAGUAUAGGGGCUGACACCUGCCCGGUGCUGGAAGGUUAAGGAGAGGGGUUAGCGUAAGCGAAGCUCUGAACUGAAGCCCCAGUAAACGGCGGCCGUAACUAUAACGGUCCUAAGGUAGCGAAAUUCCUUGUCGGGUAAGUUCCGACCCGCACGAAAGGUGUAACGAUUUGGGCACUGUCUCAACCAGAGACUCGGUGAAAUUAUAGUACCUGUGAAGAUGCAGGUUACCCGCGACAGGACGGAAAGACCCCGUGGAGCUUUACUGUAGCCUGAUAUUGAAUUUUGGUACAGUUUGUACAGGAUAGGCGGGAGCCAUUGAAACCGGAGCGCUAGCUUCGGUGGAGGCGCUGGUGGGAUACCGCCCUGACUGUAUUGAAAUUCUAACCUACGGGUCUUAUCGACCCGGGAGACAGUGUCAGGUGGGCAGUUUGACUGGGGCGGUCGCCUCCUAAAGUGUAACGGAGGCGCCCAAAGGUUCCCUCAGAAUGGUUGGAAAUCAUUCGUAGAGUGCAAAGGCAUAAGGGAGCUUGACUGCGAGACCUACAAGUCGAGCAGGGACGAAAGUCGGGCUUAGUGAUCCGGUGGUUCCGCAUGGAAGGGCCAUCGCUCAACGGAUAAAAGCUACCCCGGGGAUAACAGGCUUAUCUCCCCCAAGAGUCCACAUCGACGGGGAGGUUUGGCACCUCGAUGUCGGCUCAUCGCAUCCUGGGGCUGUAGUCGGUCCCAAGGGUUGGGCUGUUCGCCCAUUAAAGCGGUACGCGAGCUGGGUUCAGAACGUCGUGAGACAGUUCGGUCCCUAUCCGUCGUGGGCGCAGGAAAUUUGAGAGGAGCUGUCCUUAGUACGAGAGGACCGGGAUGGACGCACCGCUGGUGUACCAGUUGUUCUGCCAAGGGCAUAGCUGGGUAGCUAUGUGCGGAAGGGAUAAGUGCUGAAAGCAUCUAAGCAUGAAGCCCCCCUCAAGAUGAGAUUUCCCAUAGCGUAAGCUAGUAAGAUCCCUGAAAGAUGAUCAGGUUGAUAGGUUCGAGGUGGAAGCAUGGUGACAUGUGGAGCUGACGAAUACUAAUAGAUCGAGGACUUAACCAU